GACGAACGCUGGCGGCGUGCCUAAUACAUGCAAGUAGGACGCAGUUGAGAACGGGUGAGUAACGCCUCGGUACCUACCUAUUAGAGGGGGAUAACUAUUGGAAACGAUAGCCAAUACCGCAUACUAGUAGAUGGACCUGCGUUGUAUUAGCUAGUAGGUAGGGUAAUGGCCUACCUAGGCAACGAUACGGAGCCGAACUGAGAGGGUGAUCGGCCACCCUGGGACUGAGACACGGCCCAGACUCCCACGGGUGGCAGCAGUAGGGAAUCGUCGGCAAUGGGGGGAACCCUGACCGAGCAACGCCGCGUGAGGGAGGAAGGUCUUCGGGUCGUAAAGCUCGGUUGUUAAGUAAGCGGUACUUAAACAGAAAGCAACGGCUAACUACGUGCCAGCAGCCGCGGUAAUAC
rnacentral:rRNA from 1 species